GUAGAAUCAGAUCUCAGUGUUGGAGAAUAAAUGGAAGUAGAGGUUGAGACUCUAGUAGCUCAGUCAAACAAAGUAUAAGAUAGUAUAACUGAUCAACAACAGUCUUAUAACAUCGCAAUAGACAGAGAGAGAAGACAUAUUAGACCACCACAAAGGUAUGAAAAUCUGGUUGUGCAUGCUUUAACAAUUGCAGAGACAUUUGUUUUAUAAGAACC
rnacentral:lncRNA from 1 species